UGGAGAAGAUGAACAGCUGUAUCUUUUACAGUAGAAACCGAUCGAUCGGUUGUAUUUUCUUACGCAAAUCUCUGAGUCAAUCCUCUUUAGCAUCGAAUCCAUCUCAAAGUUGAAGCAAAGUAAAGAACCCAAAACCAAUUAGCACAGGGAAAAAUGGAACCAAAUAAAAGACAAAAAUGGCGAGGAAGAAGAUCUUUACAGAUAAGACUUUGUUAAUCCGUUAAGCUGUAUAUUCAAUCCAAUCGAUUAUAAUUUUAUAUUUGAUAGUUUUGAUAUGUAAUGCUUGCUGGUUUUUUCUGUUCUGUUUUAACAAACUGUGCUAUAUUUUCAAGUUCAUCAUUGAACAUGGUUAGAAGUAUGGUGUCUCGCCAUAAAACUGCGAAUAAGAUAACUCCGGUAUUUGGGUUAAUUAUAUUACUGGUGUCAUCUAUGGAGAGGUCGUAAUUUCAAGGAUCAUCUAUCGAUGGGUGAGAUGGUUUGUUAAGGAAAAAGGCAUUUAUGAAUCUGUCAAUGGGGGUCAUGAGCCUUCCCAUGCAUUUCAGGUAUAGUUGGUAUGGUAUAAUCUGAAAUUUGGGUUUCCAUUGAUAAUUGUGAUACUGAUACCUAUCUUUUUAUUUUUUUGUGCAAACAAUACUGAUACAUUUUUUUUUUUUUUUGAACUAACAAUACUGAUACAUAUCUUCUUUUUUUUUGUCAAAAACUCAUGACUGUUAAAUACUGAUACAUAUCUAAUUACGUAUUUUAUUAUAAAAUAGUUCCUACUAAUUCUUUUUUUGGUAAAUAAUUCCUACUAAUUGGUGUACAUACUUCUUGUAAUAUUUUUUUCUCUUUGAUUCGAGGGAAGAUGUAAGAAUCAAAUCGACGUAUAGCUAUAAAUAUUGUAUAAAUGAUUAAAUUCUCUCUUUCUCUCUUUUUUUUUUAACAGUCAUGAGUUUUUCAUUUUUGAUAUUUAGUACAUAUAGUUAAUACAAUAAUACUUGUUGACAUUUAAGAGGCAUAAUCAUUAAAUUUUUCUUCCAAACAUGUACAACAUCUGAAUACAAAUGGUAGAUUGGUCAAAUGAACAGAACAACAUUUGCAUCUAUAUCUAAAACUAACACUAAAUUUAAACAAUUUAACAACACCUUUGUAUUCUUAUAAAUGUGUUCUCCGAUGUUGUCCUCGUCACAUGCAUUUGAUUUUUCCAUUAUUGGAUUACAAGAAAUUCCGUAAUAAGUUUUACUUAAUUUUUGUUUGUGCGUUAAUUUAAUGGUAUCGCGGGAAGGCAUGGCUAACAUGAGCGUUCAAAUGAUUUGGGUCGUCUGGUUAAAGUAACUCUUUUCAGUUAAUUAUCGUUUGGUAGUCUCUCAAUAUAUAGCCUUGCUUGAAACAAAACAUAACGGUAUUAAUAUAAUAUGCUUGCUUCAGUUCAGUAUCAUUGCCAUGAUCAAGACUUUUCUUUUGCCUGGUAACAUGCAUGCAUUGCUUGAGUUUCCCUUAAGCCUUUCUCUCUGUCAGAUAUGUUGUCUUAUGAAAGAAGACAUGCUUUGCGUUGAUAAACAAAUUUGUUAUUUUUAGCUAAUAACUAAUUAAUCUGAGAUGUCAACGAAAAUUAAAAACCAAUCUAUGUGGGAAUCUCAAUGCGUAUUUAAUUUUGCUAGCUAGGGAUGAAAAGCAUGUACUUCAGAAAUGAGAAAAUAUUCUCUCUGGUUUCCUUGUAGUAAUCAUUCUAGAGUAAAUUUUGUUUUCCAAUCAUUUUAGAUUUUCAAUGCAUAUAUUUGGUAAAAAUAUCAAAUUUUUCUCUACUAUUUUAAUGUUUUGACUAAUUAAAAAUUAGAAAAUAUAUUAAAUAAGGAGUAAAAUAGAAUUAUACUCCCAAUCAUAGAGGGUUCGCCCUAGUCGCUUCUCUCCCUGGUACAACUCUCGAGACUCCUCUUCCCAGCGGCGUCGACUCAAAUCGGCGCCGCUGGGCUGUUUCCUGUUCACCGUUGUUUUCUCUUCUACUAUCAAAACUGCAUUUGGACCGCUUUUGAAUUCACCGGAGGUUCUUCGUUUUACCACGCUACUUCGGCCAUGUUCCAGCUUCAACUCAUUUAUUCCCUCUUUGCUCAAUCGGUGGUUCGUCUCAACGAGGUGAUUCUCUCAAGACUCCAGUCUUUCGAUGAAAAAUCUGAGAUCUCUAGGCUCCAUGUGUGUGCUGCUCCUCGCCUCUCUCACUGGUUCCCCUUGAAGUCAAUCCCAUCACCUCCUUCCUUCUUGGGUCCUUACCCCAUCACCAAGUGUUCUACUUGGCUGAUGCUAGAAGUGAGUUAUGUUUUGACGUCGGAACUGCGCGAGAUCUAGUCAAUAAAAGCUUCAACCAUGGUGACCUUGUAUCCCCCUCCUACAUCUUUGGUCUCUUUAGUUUGUGUUUUGGCUAUGAUCUCCUUCGAUCUGCCGCUUUAUCCAAUGAAGUUUUGCCUCACAAAUCAGACCACUAAGUUUUAUGUUGAUCUUGUUAUUGGAUUGAGUUUAGACGACUCAUGCCAUCAAUGUAGCCCCCUACCAAAUCUUCCUUUAUCCCCUCGAUCCAGGUUUGAGCCCAACUCUCAUCCGCGAACCCUGGUAGAUAGAGUAUUUCGACUAGUCUUGGGUACAUGUCUGAUCAUGAAGCUCAUUAUACCCUUUAGAAGUUUAUCGAAUCUACUCCGGUUAGGUCACUCUACCUCUAUUUUGGUUGACCACAAACAAUCAUAUAGUUGUGUAAUUGCCUUUCUAGAAUGGUUAGUUAAAUCCUUUUGUCAAGAUCAGCUGGAAAGUGUAUACCAAAAUCCCUUCGAAUCCCUUAGUCUGUAACAAUACCACUUGCCUCUUGGUUCUAACCUAGUGUCUAUCUUAGUGCAACACAGCAAAAACGAUAACAAGCUUUGUGUGGGAACCCUUAACCUCCAUAGCUAUGAGCUUCAUGUGAAAGAGGACCCACCUGCUCUGUUACGACUUUGCUUUCCUCUCCCUAGGUUCAACCUUAAAACAAUCAUAUCCUUCAGUCUCCUUGAUCUACCUCUAGGGUGUAAGCUCAGGUAUGUCUUAAUAUCACAAUGCAAUAUCGAUUACAAGUUUUGUGUUGGACUCCUUAACCUCCAUGGCCAUUGACUUCAUGCGAGGGAGGACCCACCUGCUUUGUUACUAUAUUGCACAUAUCAUCUUUGAGUCUUGGAUGUAGCUUUACCCCAUGUUAUGAGAAUUGAGCCAAAAACUGCUUUAAACAUUGAUCAAUCUGUUUUGAACAUUCUCUUAGCGGCGAGAGCAUCCUCCCUCACUCCACCUAUGUACCACCUUUGUAAAUGCUCCGCUGCAUAUAUUGCAAGAGCUAUUGCUGAUCACUUGUUGAUCGAGGAAGUCGCGGAGCAUGUCUUCAAAUGCGUUUCCACCAUGGUCCCAACAGAUCUUUCAAGUUUUGCUAGCCUCUCAAAUACUUGCACCUUCUUGGAAAACUCAUGGAACCAAUAUCUUUAUAUGCUUCGUAACCUUGUUAAGCUUUGUAAUCUUUUAUGUUUCUCUUUGUAUGAACCUUCCUCUUUGAGGAUUUAAGUUUUAAUGGAAGCUUGUUUGACAAAAAAUAAAAAAAAAGGGAAAACAUAGAAAAUUGAGUUGUUUUCUUAAUCGGUGUUAAAAAAUCUUAAACGACAAGUUAUUUAAAACGGAUGGAGAACUUAUAGAUAAUAAAUUAAAAAUAUGAGCCAAUAAUUUACUCAUUAUUUAUUAAGUUUAACUUGAAAAAUCAUAAAAUUUCUUAUAACCAAACUAAAUUUAGGAUCAACCCACCUGAAACUCUUCUUAAUAUGUCAACCCAAAUCCAUCAAAUUUAGCAGUGUAACUGAAUUCAACAAUGGGAACAUAUAUAGGGUUGUCUCAAAAAACAAAAUUCUUUGAUCUCUUUGUCCAUCUUUUUCAAUUAAUUUGACCUUUCAAAGAAAAAUAACUCAAACAAUAAAGACGAGAAAAUGCUUUCAUAUAUGAAUUCAAACCAACAUAUAGUCUUCUUUAAUUGUAAAAUCUAAAUCCAAAUUUUAUCUAUAAAUUUCAUCUGUUAUUUAAACUUAUUUUAUAAAAAUUCUACCGAUUUUGUUUCCUUAGUUUGUUUUAUUUUCUAUUUUUACUGGUGUCAUCUAUUGAAGGGUCCUAAUUUCAAGGAUAAAGUGGUGAUCGAAGCGUAUAAUGGUAAGACGCAUUCUUGGGGGAAGGUAAGAUGGUCUGUUAGGGAAACAGGCAUUCAUGAAGCUGAUCGUAAGGAGAAGACUGCCAAAUUCAGGUAUAAUUGGAAUGGUAAAUUCUGAAAUUUUGGGUUUCCAUUGAUAAUUGUGAAACUGAUAUACCCAUCGAAUUAUGUAUUUUAUUGUUAAAUAAUUCCUAUUAAACGU